rnacentral:lncRNA from 1 species
CUGAAAAUGUUGCUUUAAUUGUAUAAAUAUGUCAUAUAAAUGUUAAAGUGGUGUUUGAAAGGCUUAGAGUAAAGAAAUUUAACAUGAGAGCUAAAAGUGCAAACCUGGCAGAAUAGGUUGUAACAGGGCAGCUUGUGUUGACAACUUUAUAACUUAUUGUGUAUUUAUUGAAAUUAGGCCUAAGAUAUACCAAAUGAAAUCUGAGACAAAGAUCUAAAACUUUCAUGAAUUGACCAAAUUCUGAAUCUGUAGGUAAGAUGAUGAAAAUUUUAAGUG